UUCCAGACUCCUACGGGAGGCAGCAGUGGGGAAUAUUGCGCAAUGGGGGCAACCCUGACGCAGCAACGCCGCGUGAUUGAAGAAGGCCUUCGGGUUGUAAAGAUCUUUAAUCAGGGACGAAAAAUGACGGUACCUGAAGAAUAAGCUCCGGCUAACUACGUGCCAGCAGCCGCGGUAAUACGUAGGGAGCAAGCGUUAUCCGGAUUUAUUGGGUUUAAAGGGUGCGUAGGCGGGAUGCCAAGUCAGCGGUAAAAAUGCGGUGCUCAACGCCGUCGAGCCGUUGAAACUGGCGUUCUUGAGUGGGCGAGAAGUAUGCGGAAUGCGUGGUGUAGCGGUGAAAUGCAUAGAUAUCACGCAGAACUCCGAUUGCGAAGGCAGCAUACCGGCGCCCUACUGACGCUGAGGCACGAAAGCGUGGGUAUCGAACAGGAUUAGAUACCCCAGUAC
rnacentral:rRNA from 1 species